rnacentral:rRNA from 1 species
UACAGAGGGUGCGAGCGUUGUCCGGAAUCACUGGGCGUAAAGGGCGCGUAGGCGGCUUGAUAAGGUUGCGGUGAAAGCCCGGGCUCAACCCCGGGUCGGCCGUGGCAACUGUCGAGCUGGAGCACUGUAGAGGCAGGUGGAAUUCCGGGUGUAGCGGUGGAAUGCGCAGAUAUCAGGAGGAACACCAAUAGCGAAGGCAGCUCGCUGGGACGGUACUGACGCUAAGGCGCGAAAGCGUGGGAGCAACAGG